AUGGAGGCGCGCUCUCGGGGAGCACUAGCCCGCCCCGGGACUCGAGCCGGCCAGCCGCUGCCCGGGAAGCCGAGAACGCGCCGCGGGCUACCUCGGAGCCGAUCAUGUAGAACUCCCCGUCGUCCUCCAGCUGAAACUUGACGGGCUUCUGCCCGAAGGUCUUGCUCAACGCCAUCAUCAUCAUGGCGGCGGGGGAAACCGGCAGCCGGGGUCGAGCUGGAAAGAAUCCGGUGGGCUAGGGCGGGGCCGAGGCGCGUCGGACCGAAAGGAACGGAGGCCUGGAGGUGAAGGUCGGGCAGGGCAAGCCGGGCGAACCGGGCGAGCGCUCGUGUCACUACUGGGCUCCUUGGCCGUCUCUGCAACGAGCAGGCCGCCCUCGGUGCGCAUGCGUGGAGAAGCUGACGCUAACGUGCGCGCCGCAGCCUGCGCGACUCAAGGCCGAGCGCGUUCCCGCAAGCCCUUAAAGGGACCCGAGUUCUUUUUUGCUUCCUAGGCUUCCUCCCUGGGCGGGUAAGGAGGAAAACCUCUCAGCGACCGAAAUAGCCACUGAGGCCCUGACUCAGGCGGUAGCUUUCCUAGUCGCAUAGCCAGAGCUGGCACUCCGCCCCGGGAUGAAGGAAAAAAAUGAGACGUUAAGCGAGGAGAAGGACCGCUCUAUCUGGAAGCCCGAGGGAAGCUGGGUGGGCAUGGCGACCCCACGCUAGCGCCUCAGGUUUUCCACCCGAAAGUGCGUUAGGAAUAGCUAGCUAUCCACUCCAGGCCAACAGCAGUUCCCGAGGCAGUAGGGAUGGGAAGAAUGACAAUACUGGAUGGAGGUUGGUACUAUUCAAAGAUCUAGGUGAUGUGCCAGAUGAACGGGAGGAGGCACUUGCAUUCCUUCCUUACCUCUGCAAGCUUGGUGCCCACAAGCCCAGCCCUGGUCUGUGCCUCUGCCCGCCUUGGGGCAUAACAGCCCCGAGAGAAGACAGUGCUUCUGGAACGUGUCCAAGCAGUCCACCCCCUGUUGAACAGAGCCGUGACUCCAAAAUGUUUAAUGUUUAUUGUAGCACUAUUACAGGAGCUUAAGUUAUAGCCUAGCCUAGGUAGCUAUUCAACAAUAGAGGAAUGGAUGAAGAAAAUGUAGUCUAGGCUGGGUGUGGUGGUGCAAGCUUUUAGCUUCAGUUCCAAGACAGUCAGGGAUAUGUUGAGCAACUCUGUCCCAGAAAACAAAAAAGAGUGUGAAAUGUGUGUACAUGUGUUUUUUGUUUUUCAGCCACAAAAGUGAAAUUACAUUGUUUUCAGGAAAAUGGAUGCAACUAAGAUAUCAUAUUAAACAAAUCAGGCCAGUCUC
rnacentral:lncRNA from 1 species